rnacentral:rRNA from 1 species
GAUGAACGCUGGCGGCGUGCCUAAUACAUGCAAGUCGAGCGAACAGAUAAGGAGCUUGCUCCUUUGACGUUAGCGGAGGACGGGUGAGUAACACGUGGGUAACCUACCUAUAAGACUGGGAUAACUUCGGGAAACCGGAGCUAAUACCGGAUAAUAUUUCGCACCGCAUGGUUCGAUAGUGAAAGAUGGUUUUGCCGUCAGUUGUAGAUGGACUCGCGCCGUACUAGCUUGUUGGUAGGGUAAUGGCUUACCAAGGCGACGAUACGUAGCCGACCUGAGAGGGUGACCGGCCACAUUGGGACUGAGAUACGGCCCAGACUCGUACGGGAGGCAGCAGUGGUGAAUAUUGCACAAUGGGCGGAAGCCUGAUGCAGCAACGCCGCGUGCGGGAUGACGGCCUUCGGGUUGUAAACCGCUUUCGCCUGUGACGAAGCGUGAGUGACGGUAAUGGGUAAAGAAGCACCGGCUAACUACGUG